rnacentral:RNase_P_RNA from 1 species
CUGGGAAGAAGGAUGAUUAAUCCGCCUUUGGCGGAUAGGAAAGUCCAGACAGCACAGAGCAGGGUGGUUAGCGUAAGCUAACAGCCGUAAGGCCUAGUUAGAGCAACAGUGACGAACCGAGGUAAAGCUCGGGUGAAACGGGCAAUCCUCCCCGCUGCAAUCCUAGAACCGACAGAACUGCUCGUUCUAUUAUCGAAAUCAGGAGCGUUAGAUAAAUAUCAUCUAAAACAGAAUCUGGCUUACUAUUUUCCCAGGCAU